UUAUUAUUAUUAUUAUUAUUAUUAUUAUUAUUAUUAUUAUUAUUAUUAUUACAGGUGCUAUGCAAGGCACCAGUCUUGGUUCUGGGCAUUCAGCAGUGAACCAGAGAGAUAUGGUUUCUUGCCCUGAAUCCUACAGUUAAUGGAGGAGCUGAAACGUGAAAUGAAUAUGUGGAUUUCUAAUUAAAAGAGCUUCCAUUAAUCGAGUACCGACUCUGGACCAGGCCCUAAGUUUUUCACCUACAUUAAGUCGUGAAGUCCUCGCUACCUUGUAAUAAGGUGGAACAUAACUUCCCACUUCUGACAUCUCCUUCCAUGGGGAGGGAGCUCCAUUAAUGUAAUAAUCUUGAUUCCUCUCGAAGACACCUGAAUUUGGAAAGAGGAACAGCUCGUGAGGAGCCCAGCGCCACCCCUCCUCCUUCCUUAGGACUGAGCUGCCUAAAGGAAAUGUUUGUUCUUCUUGGUCUUCCAGGCCCAACGAUGAACAGGGCAGAAGUAGGCCUUCUCAGGUCUUGUGCCUGGGGAGACAAGUCUCAUACUGGGAUUUUAAAUGAGGACGCUCACUGUCAGAUGCCAGCUUUCUCAUUAAUAAAAUCUCUGUAUGCGUGCAAGAGAGAGGCAUUUCAUAAAAAUAAGAGUAAGUAAGCAAGUGUGUUCUGUCAUAUUUGAACCAUCCCAAACCAGCCACGUUCUCUCCAGCAUGCAUUCCUGUGCUUCUUAUUCUGACCCCACCUGCCUCAGCAUCCAGGAAAGAGUGUCUUAAAAUAGUAUCAGUAUAACCUUCAGGGAUCGUGUGGCUGAGAAGCAGAGCAACUUGCACAGUAGCCUGGACCUGUUGCAGAUGGUGCAUAAAAUCCACCAUCAAACCUUCUAAGCAGAUUUGGCCCAAUUGCCUCAAUUUCUGAAACUGGGAAGGUUUGCAGUUGAGCUUUUGGGGAGGCAGAGUGGUAAAGAUUUAUAGAUUUAGAGGACCUAGGUUUGAGCCUACCCUGGGUAAAUCUCUCUAACUUUGACCCUCUGUUUCUUCCUCUAUAUAACAACACAGAUUGCCUUACUGAGUUCACCUGGUUUGUUGAGGCCCAGAGAGGAAAAUGGACGUAUAUGUGCUUUGUAAACUGUAAGGAUCUAUAAACAUGUGAGUUGUUUUACAGGCUUAAAGGGCAGUCUUUUAAAUAAUAGUUCUCAUUUUUACUCUGGAUUUUAAGCUUGAAUUUAUACAAAGGUGGUUGUAUGAUUAGCGAUUGAUAAUGGACUGGAUGGUUAUUAUUUAAAGGCUGAAAACCAGUCUACCAACUGAGCUCUCACCUCUUCCAAACAAUGUUAAUUACUUAUUUACUAAUUAAUGUAACUAAAAAUGAAACCCUCUCUCCCAUUGCUGUCUACAUUUUUAUCAUUAGUCUUUUGCAUUAGAUAGUGCCUCUCUCAAUGACUCCCUCUGAAUUUUGUAAAAUACUUUCCUGCCAGGAGGAAGCAACAGUAUACAUAAUAACUGGAGUGGAGUUGAGGAAGGAGAAGAGAAAGACUGAAGGCAGGUGAAAGGCACAGAAAGAGUCUGGGCUAUAAAUUUCAACCAAAAGUACUGAUAAGGAAACAGGAGGGAGCAGAAGGUCCCCAGGAGCAAGGGAACCUGGUUUCAAAGUGGCACCUUUAACACAGACUGUUUUAAGCCUGACUCUCUCUAUCAAGCUACCAUGUCUCAACCUGCAAGUCAGAAGAAAUGGAUUCCAGUCCUGCCUGUGUGACCAUCUAGCUGUGUGAUGUUGGCCAUAUGUGUCUUCUUACCAGCUCUUCCAACAAUCUCACAGCCUUUGUACUUCCUGGACAAAAAGGAGUCAAGAGCAUUCAUAAAGUACCCCCAAGUCAAUGUACCAGCACAGCGAAUAUGACCAGUGACUGAAAAUGGCCACUGACAACUGGUAAUGUCCUUAGUCUGUGCCACACAGGACUGAUGACAUUUUCCUGUGGAGCAUAGUUUUGUUCAAAUCUGUAUCCUGAACACAUGCCAAGAUGCCACCUUAACUGAGCAUUUACUAAAUGCAAUUGAAGGCAAGAGAUCUUCUGAUUUAAAGAGAAAGGAGGACAACUGAAGAUUUGAAGGGAAGCAAAGUGAUCAACUAGGAAAGGGCAUCGUAAGCACACGCCAUCUAAUUGUUUUCUUGUUGAGAGAAGAUGUAGUUAAGUGGUGGAAGCUUUGGACUGGGAGUCCUGGAGAACAGUUCCAGACUUUGAACAGGCCACUUCCCUCAUCUGUAAAAUGGAAGAGUUAGUCUAGACCAGAGGUUGCAAAAUGGCAGCUUGCAGGGUGAGUAAGACCCACAGAUGUCUUUUAUCUGGCCUUAGGAAAACUCAAAUUAGUUGGCAAUGUUUAAAAAUUGGGAAAUUUUUCAAAAGCUUGGAAUUCUACCCUCUCUGAAAAAAAAAAAAGUCAACUGAUCAGGCGGCAAGAAACCUACAUUUCUGCAUAACAGCAAAUCCACUAAGAAGGAAAGCACAUUUCCCUAACACAGGGCAGCGACUCUCUGGCAUGGCAUGGUGCCCAAGUGGCCUGGGGACUUCACUUGUUUAUGCUAACUCUGUUAGAGUUUGAAUAUAUAACCCCAAGACUAUAUCACC